AUGAAGUUUGACAUCGCUAGUUACGUGUUACUAACACAUAUCAACAUCAUGUACCCUGACACGAUGCUCGAUGACGAAUUGGUGGACAAGAAUAAGAAACUGGUCAAAAAGCUGGCCAAGAAGUAUGAUGCCUUUUUGGCUUCAGAGUCUCUGAUCAAGCAGAUUCCACGAAUCCUGGGCCCAGGCCUGAAUAAAGCUGGCAAGUUCCCUUCCUUGCUGACCCACAAUGAGAAUAUGGUGGCCAAAGUCGAUGAAGUGAAAUCCACCGUCAAGUUCCAGAUGAAGAAGGUGCUUUGUCUGGCAGUGGCAGUCGGCCACGUGAAAAUGACAGAUGAUGAGCUUGUGUACAACAUCCACUUAGCUGUCAAUUUCCUGGUGUCAUUGCUCAAAAAGAACUGGCAGAAUGUCCGAGCUUUAUAUAUCAAGAGCACCAUGGGAAAGCCCCAGUGCCUGUACUAAGGCAGAGCUUAAUAAACCGUAGUGCUACA